UAGGGAAUCUUCCGCAAUGGACGCAAGUCUGACGGAGCAACGCCGCGUGAGUGAAGAAGGAUUUCGGUUCGUAAAACCCUGUUGUUAGAGAAGAACAGCGCAUAGAGUAACUGUUAUGCGUGUGACGGUAUCUAACCAGAAAGCCACGGCUAACUACGUGCCAGCAGCCGCGGUAAUACGUAGGUGGCAAGCGUUGUCCGGAUUUAUUGGGCGUAAAGCGAGCGCAGGCGGUCAAUUAAGUCUGAUGUGAAAGCCCCCGGCUCAACCGGGGAAGGUCAUUGGAAACUGGUUGACUUGAGUGCAGAAGAGGAGAGUGGAAUUCCAUGUGUAGCGGUGAAAUGCGUAGAUAUAUGGAGGAACACCAGUGGCGAAGGCGACUCUCUGGUCUGUAACUGACGCUGAGGCUCGAAAGCGUGGGUAGCAAACAGG
rnacentral:rRNA from 1 species